rnacentral:rRNA from 1 species
GAUGAACGCUGGCGGCGUGCCUAAUACAUGCAGGUCGAGCGAACGGACGAGAAGCUUGCUUCUCUGAUGUUAGCGGCGGACGGGUGAGUAACACGUGGAUAACCUACCUAUAAGACUGGGAUAACUUCGGGAAACCGGAGCUAAUACCGGAUAAUAUUUUGAACCGCAUGGUUCAAAAGUGAAAGACGGUCUUGCUGUCACUUAUAGAUGGAUCCGCGCUGCAUUAGCUAAUUGGUAAGGUAACGGCUUACCAAGGCAACGAUGCAUAGCCGACCUGAGAGGGUGAUCGGCCACACUGGAACUGAGACACGGUCCAGACUCCUACGGGAGGCAGCAGUAGGGAAUCUUCCGCAAUGGGCGAAAGCCUGACGGAGCAACGCCGCGUGAGUGAUGAAGGUCUUCGGAUCGUAAAACUCUGUUAUUAGGGAAGAACAUAUGUGUAAGUAACUGUGCACAUCUUGACGGUACCUAAUCAGAAAGCCACGGCUAACUACGUG